rnacentral:rRNA from 1 species
AGGCGGCGUGCCUAUACAUGCAAGUCGAGCGCGGGAAGCGAGUGGAUCCCUUCGGGGUGAAGCUCGUGGAACGAGCGGCGGACGGGUGAGUAACACGUGGGCAACCUGCCUGUAAGAUCGGAAUAACCCCGGGAAACCGGGGCUAAUGCCGGGUAAUACUUUCUUUCGCAUGAAGGAAAGUUGAAAGAUGGCUUCUCGCUAUCACUUACAGAUGGGCCCGCGGCGCAUUAGCUAGUUGGUGAGGUAACGGCUCACCAAGGCGACGAUGCGUAGCCGACCUGAGAGGGUGAUCGGCCACACUGGGACUGAGACACGGCCCAGACUCCUACGGGAGGCAGCAGUAGGGAAUCUUCCGCAAUGGACGAAAGUCUGACGGAGCAACGCCGCGUGAACGAUGAAGGUCUUCGGAUCGUAAAGUUCUGUUGUUAGGGAAGAACAAGUACCGUGCGAAUAGAGCGGUACCUUGACGGUACCUAACGAGGAAGCCCCGGCUAACUACGUGCCAGCAGCCGCGGUAAUACGUAGGGGGCAAGCGUUGUCCGGAAUUAUUGGGCGUAAAGCGCGCGCAGGCGGUUCCUUAAGUCUGAUGUGAAAGCCCACGGCUCAACCGUGGAGGGUCAUUGGAAACUGGGGAACUUGAGGACAGAAGAGGAGAGUGGAAUUCCACGUGUAGCGGUGAAAUGCGUAGAUAUGUGGAGGAACACCAGUGGCGAAGGCGACUCUCUGGUCUGUUUCUGACGCUGAGGUGCGAAAGCGUGGGUAGCAAACAGGAUUAGAUACCCUGGUAGUCCACGCCGUAA